GGAGAGAUGGCCGAGUUGUUUAAGGCGUAGCAUUGGAAAGGCUAUUGUUUACCGAGGGUUCGAAUCCCUCUCCUUCCA